rnacentral:lncRNA from 1 species
UGAAAAUAGAAGGCAACAGAUCACUUAUGAAUUAAGCUUAGGUCGCUUAUUCCCUGCAUUGCUCUUGCCUCAGAAAAGAGGGUAGGGGGAAAGAAACGACUUCAAAGAUAGGAUUGUGCUGUCCUGAUAAAAGAGUCGGAGGCAAAUUUCAAAUGCAAAAAAAGGGGGGGGGGACCAUGUUGUUCCGGAAUGAAACGGAUUAAGAUUGUGUGACAAGUGCGAGAUGUGGGGCUGUGAGACAUUUAUGAGCUGAGUGUGAGCUGGGAACUAUGCGCCUGUCCCUGAGCAUGUGGGGACCAAGGGUGUGUGCAGAGAAAGGUUAGGGUGGGAGAUUGGAAGGGCAUGUGUGAUUGUGAGAGCAAUGUGAGGGGUGUGAGUGUGGGUUUGGGUGUGUUAGGAGAGUGUGGACGGGAAUGUGGGAAUGUGGAUGGAUUAUUGAAGGGUGGUAGCUGUCAGUUUAUAUAAUUUUCAUCUCUUGGUCCUGAAGUUUCCUUGAAAUCAAUUCUACAGCAGGCAGCAGCCUUGAGCUUACAGAGCUGAUAUAAAACAACCAUUACAGUCCAAUAUCUUGCCUGUUUGCAAACUUCAUUUAAAACUGGGGGGGAAAAGACCCAGGAAUGGUUUUGUAAGAAAGGAAAAAAAGAAGAAAAGAAAACCACAGUGAAGCUUUAAACUAGUUUGGAUAAAUCUCUAAUCUUUUAUUUGUAACCUUUUACAAGCUUUAUUUCCCGUAUAUGAAAAGCUCCUUUUAUAUGGGCACGACAGACUUUUCCUUUGGAUUUUUAAUUAGAGCCCAUCAAUUGUAGCCAUAUUUAAGAAUCAAUAUAAAGUAAUCCUUCGAGAUGGGAUAAGGUUUUAAUCGAAAAUCUAAUUCCCCACUCUUUGCAGAUCAUUUUAAGGGGCUGGAUGAUUUAAAAAAAAAGUUCAAUUUUUAAAAGACAUAACACCUAAAACGUGGAAAAGAUCAUGUCUGCAAAAUAACCAACUGAUGUUGCCUUACAAAGAAAAAAAAAAGUCUGGCUGUUGUUGGAAACUUUUUUCUUCUAUUUAGAAGAAUUUGACUUAUUUUUUCUCAAACACUAUUCUAUAAUGUGGCUCCUAUGAGAGUUUGAAUGGGGAGAGAAAAAAAAGGGUUUGUCUAUAAUAGCAUUUCAUAUGCAAAAGAUACUAACUUAAAUUUUUUUAUUAACAAAGAAAACAUAGAUCUUGACAGAUCCUUUUCACUACAGGCUCCCCAGUUCCCAAGAUUAGAAAAUGAAUAAUACACACUUUUCAUUUUUGUUCAGUGAUACAAGCUUUCCACUUUCAUAUCCUGGAAUAAACAUUUCUGACCAAUUUUUAAACUUCAACAUUAGAAUUUUGUGAUUUUUAAUUUCUUACAGUAAAUGAAAAGUUGCUUAUCACAAAGGCAUAGAAUUUUAAGCAGUUCUGCUAGAGUGACUAGCUUUCAAUUUGUCUUUUUUUUUUUUAAGAAGAAAUAUGAAAGCAAGGAAGAAAACAGAUAAACAAAAACUAAUUGUAGGUGCACAGCCCAGAUAUUUUUUUGCCUGUUAAUGAUCAAACUGAUGUAUUUGUUCAAAGACUGCAUGUUAUCUAAAUGUGCAUAGUCCAUUUUCAAAAAACCACGGCUUUAGUUUAAGAUCUGCAAAUUAUCUCUAAACUAGAAGGGAUCCCUCCAAAAGUUUGUAGGCAUAUUUUUCAGUGACUGACUUGUUUUUGCUAUAUCUGUUAAGUGCAUUUGAAAAAAAAAAAAUGAACUUGUCGUAUUUGCUUUUUGAAAUCUGAAUGAAGUGGGUUUGGACAUAUUUGAUACUCAUGCUUUCCUUUUAUCUCCAGAAAUUUCAAUUUAUUUAAAAGCCUGGUGCUUAAUGCACUACUCGGCCGCAUAAAUUUUAGAGAAACUCUCUUGUAUUUCUCCGUAAUCGUGUCUAAUGAAAACCUGGAAUUUUCCUUCAUUUUAAAAAAAGUGAAAAUAUAAUGCAUCUUCAUUAGGAAAAUUGACUGCUGUGCUCACGACAGUUCUUAAUUGAAAAGGCAACCUAUUUUAAUGGUGUGGUUGAGAAGAAGAUUACAUACUUUAUCCAAACACAAAGACAAUUAAUAAUGAGAAGCAGGCAGCUGCCAUUAACUCUAAUGCAGUUGCAUCAAUGUCAGUGAAAACUGCUCAUACCUGAGAUAGAGAGUGCAAACUCUCCUAGCUCCCUCCUUCCCCGAUUCACCCACUCCUUAAUUUGGAUUUCUUAAUGUGCAAGCGCCAGGGCCGCCUGUGAACAGUUAGGCUAGUUUUGGGCAAGUGCGGCGCGGGGCCAGGCGCCCCUUCCCGCGAGUCGUGCGGUCCCGGGACGCGCCGCCUGGCCGGAGGCGCCAGGGCCACCGGUGUCUGCGCGCAAACCCGAAGCCCUCCCGGUUGCACACGGAGACGCGUGAGGACUGCCGCAGCCCCCGCGCUCAGAAAGGUUUGGAGACCUGGAGCCACCUGGUGCAUUUUGAAAAGUUUACCUAAAGGGACAGGGCAGCCUCGGCGACUGGGCUCUGCUUUGAUUCACUUACGGAAAAGUCGUGGCGAAAAAAAAAAAAAAAACUUUUAAAAUUGAGAGUUUGGGGUGGAGGUGGGGCGUCUGGGCGCAAAUGGUCAUCCGGCGGAUCGAGCAAGUUUGCCAAAGCGCCCCCUCUACAACUCGGGCCAGGAGAGCAGGCGUGCGUGUGCGCGUGUCCGUCUCUCUGUGUGUAUGUGUGUGUGCUCGCGCGUGCGUGUGUGUUAAAGCAGGGGAAGCCCAGCCUUUCCUAGGUUCGAGCACACUCCGACUUCAGACUGGGAAAUGGGGAGGAGGAGGCGGCCACCUCUGGUCUUUUCCUUUACACGGCGAGGCGCGGCCAACUCAGGCUGUAAGCCGGCCGCCUCGAACCCAGGGCUGCGAGCUGCCCAAGUCAGCGUGCGAAGGGAAGACCCCGGGAUCCCAAGUCUUGGCGCUGAAAGAGCGGCGGCGCCCUGUGCCAGGCGUGGCUCUGCCGCGGGUCGAGCCUGGUGCUCCGGCGCGCGGGGACCUGAGGGCGCGGUGGUCUCUCGCCGUCCCCAAGCCCCGGGGACUGCUACAGGUUGGGGAAGGGGAGAUCACAAUUGGGGUUUUUACGAGGUGUACUGGAGCCCUCGAGGGGCUAGACGCCUGCUGCUGGGUGUCCUACAGCCCCUGGAACUCGCUCAGCCCCUGUCCCAUCCCCAGCGUUGGCUGCCAGCCGGAGGCUCGGGCGAUUAGGGGAGGCGGCACUCCACGGUCAGUAUCACUGUCCCCCUCAAUGUGGGUUAGGGGGCGCUCAGCCUAUCAGGUCUCCUCUCUUCACCAAACAAUUGGGAGUGGGUCUCGCUUCUUUGGGGAAUUCUGGAGGCUUCUCACCUUGGCCAGCCACACUGGGUGCCAGGAGAGAUACACCGCCGGGGUCUACGCCGGUGGGAGGUGCCUGGGAGGGAGGAGGGUAAGCAGACCUCCAGGGCUGCCAGGAGGACGCUCAACUGGACACAGGCCUUUCCCUUGAGGGAAACUUCCUCCCACAAAUGCACACUUCUGUCUGUUCCAUCCCUGGCACUGCACAGUGGGUUAAGGAUGAGGCGUUGCCAUGAGCUCUGGUGUAGGUCGAAGACGUGGCCGAGAUUCUGAGUUGCAGUGGCUGUGGUGUAGGCUGGCAGCUACAACCCUGAUUCAACCCCUGGCCUGGGAACUUCCAUAUGCUGCAGGUGUGGCCCUAAAAAAAAAAAAAAAAGACAGACUUCCUGCAGAGUUGCCUUUUUUGUGAUGCUGCCCACAGGUUAGGGGAGUCUCUGGAAGCCUCUGAAAACAAGCAGACUUGGAGUGUUCCCUGAAGCCCCAGACUCCUCCUUUUCCCUCCCACAAGAGAGGUGGACCUCUAAAGCACUGUAAACUUCUUUUGAUGGGAGCUAGCUAUCAGCUGCUUGUUAUGGUCUAGGGACCUUCUCCCCUCCUCCUCCACCUCAUGCUGUAUGAUGUAUGUGCAGCUUUUCCUGUUCCUUUGGACAGACGACAAAACUUGAAGUACUCCAGUUACUAUUUACCAGAUAAGCCUUGGUUUCUGCUAUGGUGAGUUCGUGUAUGUCAGCUGGGUAUCAAGGGAGAGACCAUGUCACCAAGACCAGUAAGAGAUGGUUCGAUUCUUGGGAUAGCAUGAACCUUAGAUGGAAUGCUUGCCCAACGACAUAAGAGUAACAACAGACUAACUUGUAUUUGUGGAUCUGUUUCUUGGCAUUUGACAUGUGGAUGCUGGAGGCAUCUUUAUUAGCAUGUGUGUGACUUUGGAUGGAAACUCAAUAAUGACAUUCCUAAUUAUUUAUUGAAUACCAUUUAAGCUAGUUCAGCAACAGACAGUAGCUCUUAGCCUAAAUGGCGGGUUUCUGGCAGCUUAUUCAACUAAUGAACAAGCAAAAAGCGAAAGAUAUAAUUGCAUUCAAUACUUAGCUUCUGAAUAUGACAGAGUCACAACUUAAGAGACACACAGACCACACCAAAAGUAGAUGGUAAGUUCUGGGUUACUUUUUGAACAGCAGUUUCCUUCUGGUUUUGCUCUCUUGUAUUUGAUACAUAAAAUAGGUCAAAGAAACACAGAAGAAACAGGCAUGGUUUACAGAUAUUGAAUAUCAAUAGAGUUAUAGCCCUGAAUUUAUUCUCACUUUUUCCUAC